CCACAUUAUUUCCACGCCCAUCCCCACUCCCAUCGCCGGAAACUGGAAAAAUCCGGCGACGCGGUUUUGGUCCCCUACUCCUCUUCUCUUCCCUCCACGUGGCCGGACACGUAACAAACUCCCACUCACUCGAAUCUUCCAUCAUUUUUAUUCCUUUACUAAUCAUAAAUCCGAAUUCUUUUUGACGAUUUUUAGAAAAUUGGAUGCCUCAGGAUUAAUAUUCUUUGAUCCUAGACUUCCACUUGUCUAGAAUUUCGGAUUAUUUUCUUAGAGGAGUUUUUAUCCAUUUCUUGGAGAGGAAGAAGAGAACAUUCUAGGUUCUCUAUAUAUACUCCAUUUUUCAGAUUUUGUAGCUGUUUUCGAUCAAAUUUCGUCAUCGGCAUUCCUUAUAACACAUCUGAGCAGCAAAUCAAUUAAGAAAACUUCUUGUGAGAGUUGACAGAAAGCCUGGACCUGUGAAUGCGAAAUUUUCUCAUGUAUGUCCACAUUCCACACUCCACUGUCUGUUACCAAUGAAAAUAAAUGCAUUUGAGAUUAAAUAAACUACAAGAAUUUUUAUCCAA